rnacentral:rRNA from 1 species
UACGAAGGGGGCUAGCGUUGCUCGGAAUUACUGGGCGUAAAGCGCACGUAGGCGGCUUUCUAAGUCGGGGGUGAAAUCCUGGAGCUCAACUCCAGAACUGCCUUCGAUACUGGAAGCUCGAGUCCGGGAGAGGUGAGUGGAACUGCGAGUGUAGAGGUGAAAUUCGUAGAUAUUCGCAAGAACACCAGUGGCGAAGGCGGCUCACUGGCCCGGUACUGACGCUGAGGUGCGAAAGCGUGGGGGAGCAAACAGG